GUCUUGUGCUGGAAUGUGUUGAAAUUAAAAGUUGUUGGGUUUUUGGGCGCAGUCGCGGCCCUGGCGCAGCACAGGCCAAUGUGUUGGUUUUAUUUUGUUUUUGUUUUUGUAUUUUUUUUUUUUGGCUUAGACAGGUGUACGCAGACGCUAUUGUUGUUGGGUGCCGUGCCGCCAGUUGGUCGUUGGUGGUGCUAUUGAUACGAGCAUAGCAUUGAGCACUGUUUUUUGAAAAGCCGUCCGUGCAUUCUACAAGUUUUCCAUCCAUCUACCGAAGACCUGUGCACACACACACACACACACCGAAGCGAUUGGAAAAACUUGGCAUUUAACUUGUUUUGGUUUUCGUUUUGGCCAUCGAGUGAAAUCUACAGAUUGAUUGAAGGCUGGCACUGGGACUGGAAUCGGAACUGGUUCUUCUCAUAAAAUGUUCGCCUUGGCCUCUGCAAACGUGAAAAGCACUCAACAUUUUUCAGAUAAAGUGUUCUAAUUUUUGGCACCAAAAACGCGUAUAGAAAGCUGUCUUAGCGGAUAUCCGUACUACUUGUGGGCCUCAAUUGAUAUCUAGAUGGGGCUUAUUGAACACCUAAAGAUCCGUCAUGGAAACACACAAACAAAAAAGUGGCAUUUGUAUUUUUCCCAAUAUUUCCAUUUGUUGUAAACGAAUUUCCUGUUUUAGUAUCUUUGUAUCUUCAUCAGAGGCUCGUUCAUUAUCAUUAUAUUUCCCCCUAAACAGCCCCUUCCAUCCACCAAACAUUUCCUCAAUUAUAUUACAGAAAAGCUGCUCUAUAAGAAAUGUUUGUAAUGCAUUUUGUUGGAGCUCAUUUUCGACAGAAUGUAUGCCAUGAUGGGGCACUAUUUAUGGUGGGGUCAUUGUUGGCUCUUUAGUAACAAUCGUAUUUGUAAAGAUUAAAGAGCAAUUCCCAACCCCCGCCCCUCCACCACCGAAGAGCGUGACAAAAGUCGAAAAAUACUGGUUGAAAAAAUACUGUAAAUACCUUUAAGAAAUACCGAUUUAAUGACCUUGUGCCGCACCAGCCCCCAGCCCUUGCUGUAAAUGCAUUUUCGGCACGUUUUUUGGCUGCCAAAGAUUUCACCAGCCGCAGUGUUGUGCAGGUUGUUGGCCAAAAAUCCCUGCUAACCCGAUGACAUGGAAAGGAGAAGAAAGGCAAAGAAAGGCGCAGAAAGGAGGGGGGGGGGGAGGGGGAGAGAUCCAAUGCCAAAACAAUUGCCAAAUGGAAUUUCACUUUUCAUUCGUCGAUGGAAAAACUAAAAGAUGGAGAUGCAAUUUUUGCAAUUAAAUUUCAACGUCUCUGGGAAAAACUGGUUGCUUAAAUAUUUAUAGUAGGUCUACACAUAUAUCAUGUUGUUUAUCGUUGAUUUUUUUUUUUUUUUUGGUGAAAUCCGAAAAGAUAAAUAUGGCCAAGGCCAAAAGGAAGAAGACGAAGACGAAGACGACGCCUCGGGCCGGAGGCCAUCUCCCAGAAAGCUCCAGUAACUGAUCUGUGGAUGGCAACAAGUGGCUGGCUUUCUUUUGGGUGCGACAACAAGUUGUGGCCUCCUCUCCGUGCCUCUAGAGCUAAGCGUUUUUAAUUGAAUCGAGCAAUGGUGCGAUGUGGUGUGCGAUGCCACAAGAAGAGAAGUCAAGUUGUCGUGAAACGCGUUAAACCGCUUUUGAUUUUUAUAUAGUAUAUGUGGUGCUUGGGGUAAAAGUGGGUAAUCAUCAUUAGCAGAGGCAAAACCAAUCACUAUGCCACACAGUCCCGUGCCCCAGCCACCUGUGGCACUCACUGUCUGCCGCGAUCUGUGUCUGAUUAGGAGGCCUCGCCUCGGCUCGCCUCUGGUGAGAGUGCGAUACAAAGUCAAUGGAAAUGGAAAAGAUACAAAUUAAAACAUUUCCAAUGCCAGCACACGCGUGGGGGAUUUGUGAAAUUAAAGUGAAAUUCACUUCUAAGCCCCCAGGCGGAGGCCGAGGCCGAGGCGGAGGCUCCCACGAAUAUGUCGCCCAAAAACCAACAAAAACUUUCAAUUUGCCAAACAGAAAGUGAAUUUCUCCCGAAAGGCACUUGGAAGUCGCACUUUCGAUUGAUUCUAUUGAUUUGGUUCUAUGGAAGUCCUCUCCAGCUCCACUUGGGGCACUUCUGCCUCCUACUGUCUUGGCUUUGGCCACUCCCCGAUCAACCCAGAGCCCCAGAGAGCCCCGACAAAAGAAAUUUGAUCUAUUUCAUGUGAUUAGCGGCAAUAUAAAUUGCUUUCGAGGCUGGGAGGUGAUGCCUGUCUGUCGGCAUUCAUUGAUUGAAGAUUGAACACUGGAGAUUGGAGAUUGGAGAUUGGGUGAAAACGUACGAGUAGCUCUUUUGGGUGUGUCAUAGGGGCAUCAUCGAAACGAGCCGAUCACGGCCACAUGCCACAUUCGAAGGCGUGCCCCAAGCAGCUCCUUGCUAGACUCUGAAACGAGUUCCGUGUGUUCGGGGGGAUUCAUCAUUUUGAAUGAUUUGCAUGUGGAAAGCAAAGAUGACGAUUUCUACAAAGUGCCGUCUUUGGAAUGGAAUGUUUUUCUAUUACUUUGGCUUUCGAUUAUUGAUUCGGCCAUUCUUGUGGGUUUUUUGUACUCCCAUUUCUAGUUCUAUUUCUCCUGCUAUAAAUUAUGUGCCCAAAGUGUGCCUCUGCUGGGUCUUGGCUUUUCCUGGAAAGCCCAGAGUUCAGCCAAGCCAAAAGUAAUGGCUGUCUCUAAAAAAGAGAAAGAACAACCCAGAAAAACCCACAGUAGACACGCGCCCGAAAAAGUUCUUGAAGCAAGACAAAAAACAUUUGGAGCUAGCGGUCUCUCCGUCCGUCUGUCUGUCCGUCUGUCCGUCCGUCCGUCUGUCUGUCCGUCCGUCGCUGAUGGAGUGAUGGAACAGUACGGUGUAAUUAUAUCAUUUAAUUUCGGUUACGCGAAGACUGUGCUUGAGGCCCCCAAAACUCUGGGCAUAUAAUUGCAAAGUUACGAAGCGUUAACACCGCGUAAAGAUUGUCCAAAUUUGAUUGUGGUUCGGAUCGGAUAGAUUCCCAGCUGGGAACUAUUUUCAGACUCUGGCUACGACUCUGGGUUAAUGGCUAAACGAUGCUCUUGAUUGAUGUUUAUUUCUUUGGGCCUAAAUUGAUUUAUUUAACCAGUAUCUGCCCGGCCCUGGGCGUGGCCCCCCCUGUAACGAAUGCUGGCUAAUGAAUACAUCUUUCCAUUAAAUGUAGUGGUUUUUGGUAACUUUCUGCCAGCAAUUUGUUCGAUUUUUGCGGGGCAUACAUGACUCAUCUGGGAGAGGGAGAGAGAUCUGUGGGUAAAGAUUUCUAUUUGCUUAAAAAAUGAUAAAGUGAAAGUGCAGUCGGUCGGUCACUCACUCGAUCGAAACGCAAACGCAAAUCAAUUAUUUACGCGAUAAGUAAAUGUGUUCACAUUUAUUUGUUUAUUAUUUCUCCUCCGCAUCUCCGUAUUUAUUGAUUCAUUCAUUUGCAUUGUAUUCGCUGUACUCUGAAACAAAUCAUAAUCAUAAUUAUAAGCUGAACAAAAAAUAUACAAAUCUUCGCAUUCACAGAGAGAACUCCCCAUAGAAAGCUCCUCAAGAAUUCGAAUAAUAAUAUCUCCAGAUAUCUACCAAAAUAAUCCAUUCAAAUACGGAUGAUGCUUUCUAGAAAAUUCUGUCUCUUAAUGAUGGAAAAAUUCCGAAUUUAUAGAACUUUAAUUGAGGGAGCUUUUGGGUCUCAAUCAUUCAUUGAAUAAUGUUGGCUAUCAUUAUCGUUUUUUGUUUAUUUCUUUUUCUUUUGUUCCACAUCAUUUAAAGAAAAGAUUAGGCUCAUAUUUAUUGUUUUUUUUUUUACAGAUUUCAGUGCCUGAUUUUCGAGCCCCCAAUAACUAUCUUUAGUUUAAUUUAUUUUAUUUCUAUUUUAAUUCAAAAAACCAUUUCAAAACUGCCUAAUCGAUUCCCCCAUCGAUUGCCGCCUUCUACAGAGAGAGAGAGAGAGGGGGAGGGAGAGUGUGAGGGGCAGGGCAGUACCCCUAUAAAAUACAUAUAUUACAUCAUAAUAUAUUAUGCGCAAGACCAUGGCGAAAGAAACGAAACCUAAUCAACAUAUGAGCAUUGGCAGCCCCCAGAGGAGGGCCACAGCUCCAGUCCUUAGGUCUGGCUCUGGCUCUGGCUGUGGCUGGGGCUGUGGCUGGGGCUGUGGCUUUGCUUCCUGAUUGCUUUCCAGCCCAUGACAGGUGCUGAUUAACUCAACAACUUUGUGGCGGCUGCGAUGCUCAGUUGCAGUUGCAUUUGCCGCAAUUUAAAUGCCAAAAGUUUGCUUGCGUUUUCUUUUUUUUUUUGUCAUUCUCUCUGGGUGCGUGUGUGCCAUAAAUAACUUUGGGGCUUGGCUCCCAGUCUCCAGACUCCAGACUCCAGCCUCCGUCUCCUCCUCCUCUCUGCGGCUUAUGUAAGGUUUCGCUGAUCAAAAACAAAAACAAACAAAACUAGCUUUCCUGGUUUCUUUUUCUGAUUUCGUGUUGAUGGUUUUGGGUUUUGGUAUCCUAUGCAGAAUGUGCAACAUGUGCAAAGGGUAUCGCAAUGCCACCCUUUCUUUCUGGGUCUCUGCCUCUAACUGUUGUUUUCGGUGCGCCAUGCGUUGCUUCUACUCAUUUCCUAUUAAUUUAUGUUAAUUAUUUUGAAAGAAAAAGAAAGAGCCACAUGCAAGCCACCGCUCUCCACUCCACGCUCUCCGCUCUGUCCGAGCUCCGCCUCUUCUCUGGGUUUUAGGUUGCUGGAUCUUCUCCGUGUGCUGGGGCAUACACAAGUUCACUGACUUGUUGACAAUGAAUUGACAAAAGCCUGAAGCACCAGCACCAGCCACAGCCCCCAGAUAGCGGUUGAAAAGAGCUUCAGCUUCAGCUUCAGCGAGGAAGAGACACUGGGAAGAAGACAGUGGGGCCUCAACAAUGGAGAUGAUACCACACAAAAUGCCAGACAUAAGUACAUUACACACAUGCGAACACCAGAACACCAGAACACUUCAGGAGAGUGCCAAAAGAAAUGCCAACGAGGGUCGAUCGAUGAACAGUCCACAAAGAAAUCUGUAACUCCCUCUCUCGUUACUGAUAGCUCUAUCCUAGGUACUUAUAACUCUUGAAUAUUUCUCCACAACUUUGAUUCUUUAUAUUUUUCUAUUAUAGGAACAGUGUGGGCACGAAAGGCUUGGCCUCUGGUUCUAAAAGACCAAGAUCAAGACUCAGUAGAUCUGUAAUGACAACCAGCUCUCGGUCUUCGUUACUUUGCCCUCUGCUUCAGAUCAGCAAGGAGCCAGAGGAUCUGCUGUACUCGAUAUUCGUUUAGAUGACGUGGGACUCUAAUGGAAAGCGAAGCAACAGGGCAAUCAAUGACCCAUGGAGUACCCAUGGAACCCCGGAAGUAAACAUCUUCCCAAGGCAGGAAGGAAGGGAGCGAAAGCGGAGAACUGAGGAGGUGGCAAUACAGAGCUUCCAGACUUGAUCAAACUAGUUGGAAGAUCAGAUCGCCAGAGAUAGAAAUCAGUUGACCGAAUGAUUUACCAGACAUUAUCCAUCCCAUUCAUGCACCCAUGCACCGUGCACCGUGCACCAUGCCCCAUGCUUCGAGUAUGCAAAUAAUAAUGGAAAUGGCAGCAACAACAGCAAUCUCUGUAGACGGCAGUGUUUUCAAAGUGGCAUAAAAUUCCAAGCGACUGCAACGAAGCGCAAAGAUGGCUUACGGGGGGGAAUGGAG